rnacentral:rRNA from 1 species
UACGUAGGGGGCAAGCGUUGUCCGGAAUCAUUGGGCGUAAAGCGCGUGUAGGCGGUUCGAUAAGUCUGCUGUGAAAGUCCAGGGCUCAACCCUGGGAUGCCGGUGGAUACUGUCGGGCUAGAGUACGGAAGAGGCGAGUGGAAUUCCCGGUGUAGCGGUGAAAUGCGCAGAUAUCGGGAGGAACACCAGUGGCGAAGGCGGCACUCUGGGCCGGAACUGACGCUGAGGAGCGAAAGCGUGGGGAGCGAACAGG